GACGAACGCUGGCGGCGUGCUUAACACAUGCAAGUCGAACGGUAAGGCCCUUCGGGGUACACGAGUGGCGAACGGGUGAGUAACACGUGGGUGAUCUGCCCUGCACUUCGGGAUAAGCCUGGGAAACUGGGUCUAAUACCGGAUAGGACUCCUGGCUUCAUGGUUGGGGGUGGAAAGCUUUUGCGGUGUGGGAUGGGGCCGCGGCCUAUCAGCUUGGUGGUGGGGUAAUGGCCUACCAAGGCGACGACGGGUAGCCGGCCUGAGAGGGUGACCGGUCACGCUGGGACUGAGAUACGGCCCAGACUCCUACGGGAGGCAGCGGUGGGGAAUAUUGCACAAUGGGCGCAAGCCUGAGGCAGCGACGCCGCGUGAGGGAUGACGGCCUUCGGGUUGUAAACCUCUUUCAGCUAUGACGAAGCGCAAGUGACGGUAGUAGCAGAAGAAGGACCGGCCAACUACGUGCCAGCCGCCGCCGUAA
rnacentral:rRNA from 1 species